rnacentral:tRNA from 2 species
GGGCGGUUAACUCAGCGGUAGAGUGCGAUCCUCACACGGUCGAAGUCACUGGUUCGAUCCCAGUACCGCCCACCA